GGAGGGAGGCCGGAUCCUGGGCUGUGUCCCGACGCCCAUUGCUCCCAGCCUGCGCCGCUGGAUUCGGCUCCGGCGGCACAGUCCCCU
rnacentral:pre_miRNA from 1 species